GAGUUUGAUCAUGGCUCAGAUUGAGCGCUGGCGGCAUGCCUUACACAUGCAAGUCGAACGGCAGCACGGGAGCUUGCUCCUGGUGGCGAGUGGCGAACGGGUGAGUAAUGCAUCGGAACGUAUCCUGGAGUGGGGGAUAACGUAGCGAAAGUUACGCUAAUACCGCAUAUUCUGUGAGCAGGAAAGCGGGGGACCUUCGGGCCUCGUGCUCUUGGAGCGGCCGAUGUCGGAUUAGCUAGUUGGUGAGGUAAAGGCUCACCAAGGCGACGAUCCGUAGCAGGUCUGAGAGGAUGAUCUGCCACACUGGAACUGAGACACGGUCCAGACUCCUACGGGAGGCAGCAGUGGGGAAUAUUGGACAAUGGGCGAAAGCCUGAUCCAGCCAUGCCGCGUGUGUGAAGAAGGUCUCCGGAUUGUAAAGCACUUUAAGUUGGGAGAAGGGCAGUAAGUUAAUACCUUGCUGUUUUGACGUUACCGACAGAAUAAGCACCGGCUAACU
rnacentral:rRNA from 1 species